rnacentral:rRNA from 1 species
GAGUUUGAUCAUGGCUCAGAGUGAACGCUGGCGGCAGGCCUAACACAUGCAAGUCGAACGGCAGCGCAGCAGUAGCAAUACUGUGGGCGGCGAGUGGCGGACGGGUGAGGAAUACAUGGGAAUCUACCCUGUCGUGGGGGAUAACGUAGGGAAACUUACGCUAAUACCGCAUACGACCGAGAGGUGAAAGCGGCGGACCGCAAGGCGUCGCGCGAUUGGAUGAGCCCAUGUCGGAUUAGCUAGUUGGCGGGGUAAAGGCCCACCAAGGCGACGAUCCGUAGCUGGUCUGAGAGGAUGAUCAGCCACACUGGAACUGAGACACGGUCCAGACUCCUACGGGAGGCAGCAGUGGGGAAUAUUGGACAAUGGGCGCAAGCCUGAUCCAGCCAUGCCGCGUGAGUGAAGAAGGCC